rnacentral:rRNA from 1 species
UAGUCCAUGCCGUAAACGUUGGGCGCUAGAUGUAGGGACCUUUCCACGGUUUCUGUGUCGUAGCUAACGCAUUAAGCGCCCCGCCUGGGGAGUACGGCCGCAAGGCUAAAACUCAAAGGAAUUGACGGGGGCCCGCACAAGCGGCGGAGCAUGCGGAUUAAUUCGAUGCAACGCGAAGAACCUUACCAAGGCUUGACAUACACCGGAAACGGCCAGAGAUGGUCGCCCCCUUGUGGUCGGUGUAC